ACGGCACCCUUCGCGAGAAGAUCACCCGGUGGAUUGACGACGACGACGAACGAACCUCGUCCUCAACAUGUGUGAGCGAUUGGCAGCAUCGACACCAGUGGUACGAGUAUGCAUUUCGACAUGGCAAAUUUUGUGUGGAAGAUGCUUAAACAGGUGCAUCUUUGACCAAGUAUAGGACGGGCAGAUGUCGCGAAAGGAAUACUCAUGGUUUCUGAAGACUGACUAUGCUCCCUCGAGUACUACGCAGCAACAAACUCAGGAUAACUCAGUCGAGAACUUUAAAAGAGCAAACAAGAUUCUGGCUUCGGAGUCUGAGCCGGUUCAAAUAUGGGAUUUCUCUGCGCGAACAACCUUCAUAUGGAUGAAUGAAUGGAACCGUAUGCCCCAAGAUCCUCGGUCUAAGAUCCUCGGCCUUCUGACCAGGAGGUGAGGAUGGUGGCAGGAGGAUGUACCUGCGGCGUGAGGAGAUGGGUGCAGGAACAGACGGCCUUGGUGAGCAACACCAUGAGAGGAGAUGGGUGCAGGAACAGACGGCCUUGGUGAGCAACACCAUGAGACGGGAGCAGAGGUUGCUGGUUCCGGCGUGGCCGGACUGGUUCCGUUCCGGCGGAUGUGGCCGGAGGGCGAGUAUGGGUCCAGCGAGAGGAAAAACUGACGUUCCUGGUGACGUGCGAUGACGGCUCGAUGGAGCUUCCGCACUUGUUUCUUUGUUUGGUUUGGCUGGGACGUGUCUUUUUUUUGGUUUGUUUUUUUGGUCAAUGCAUGGAGUACUGUUGUUUUUCUUUGGCCGGUGCGUGAUCGUGGUACUGUUGUUUUUC